GAGGGAAAGGUGAAAAGCACCCCGGAAGGGGAGUGAAACAGUUCCUGAAACCGUGUGCCUACAAGUAGUUAGAGCCCGUUAAUGGGUGAUAGCGUGCCUUUUGUAGAAUGAACCGGCGAGUUACGAUUUGUUGCAAGGUUAAGCGGAAAAAGCGGAGCCGUAGCGAAAGCGAGUCUGAAUAGGGCGCAUAAGUAACAGGUCGUAGACCCGAAACCAGGUGAUCUACCCAUGUCCAGGAUGAAGGUAAGGUAAUACUUACUGGAGGUCCGAACCCACGCACGUUGAAAAGUGCGGGGAUGAGGUGUGGGUAGCGGAGAAAUUCCAAUCGAACUUGGAGAUAGCUGGUUCUCUCCGAAAUAGCUUUAGGGCUAGCCUCGAGGUAAAGAGUCAUGGAGGUAGAGCACUGUUUGGACUAGGGGCCCUUCUCGGGUUACCGAAUUCAGAUAAACUCCGAAUGCCAUGUACUUAUACUCGGGAGUCAGACUGCGAGUGAUAAGAUCCGUAGUCGAAAGGGAAACAGCCCAGACCACCAGUUAAGGUCCCCAAAUAUAUGUUAAGUGGAAAAGGAUGUGGGGUUGCUUAGACAACCAGGAUGUUGGCUUAGAAGCAGCCACCAUUGAAAGAGUGCGUAAUAGCUCACUGGUCGAGUGACCCCGCGCCGAAAAUGUACCGGGGCUAAACAUAUUACCGAAACUGUGGAUGAACCUCUUUAGAGGUUCGUGGUAGGAGAGCGUUCUAAGGGCGGUGAAGUCAGACCGGAAGGACUGGUGGAGCGCUUAGAAGUGAGAAUGCCGGUAUGAGUAGCGAAAGAAGGGUGAGAAUCCCUUCCACCGAAUAUCUAAGGUUUCCUGAGGAAGGCUCGUCCGCUCAGGGUUAGUCGGGACCUAAGCCGAGGCCGAUAGGCGUAGGCGAUGGACAACAGGUAGAGAUUCCUGUACCAGUGCUAAUUGUUUAACCGAUGGGGUGACACAGAAGGAUAGGGAAUCGCACGAAUGGAAAUGUGCGUCCAAGCAGUGAGUGUGAGAAGUAGGCAAAUCCGCUUCUCGCGAAGCAUGAGCUGUGAUGGGGAAGGAAAUUAAGUACGGAAGUUCCUGAUUUCACGCUGUCAAGAAAAGCCUCUAGGAAGAGUAGUACUGCCCGUACCGCAAACCGACACAGGUAGAUGAGGAGAGAAUCCUAAGGUGAGCGAGAGAACUCUCGUUAAGGAACUCGGCAAAAUGACCCCGUAACUUCGGGAGAAGGGGUGCUCUAUUAGGGUGCAAGCCCGAGAGAGCCGCAGUGAAUAGGCCCAGGCGACUGUUUAGCAAAAACACAGGUCUCUGCAAAACCGUAAGGUGACGUAUAGGGGCUGACGCCUGCCCGGUGCUGGAAGGUUAAGAGGAGUGCUUAGCUUCGGCGAAGGUACGAAUUGAAGCCCCAGUAAACGGCGGCCGUAACUAUAACGGUCCUAAGGUAGCGAAAUUCCUUGUCGGGUAAGUUCCGACCCGCACGAAAGGCGCAACGAUCUGGGCACUGUCUCAACGAGAGACUCGGUGAAAUUAUAGUACCUGUGAAGAUGCAGGUUACCCGCGACAGGACGGAAAGACCCCGUGGAGCUUUACUGCAACCUGAUAUGGAAUGUUUGUACCGCUUGUACAGGAUAGGUAGGAGCCGAAGAGACGUGUGCGCUAGCAUACGAGGAGGCAAUGGUGGGAUACUACCCUGGCUGUAUGACCAUUCUAACCCGCCACGCUUAGCGCGUGGGGAGACAGUGUCAGGUGGGCAGUUUGACUGGGGCGGUCGCCUCCUAAAGAGUAACGGAGGCGCCCAAAGGUUCCCUCAGAAUGGAUGGAAAUCAUUCGCAGAGUGUAAAGGCACAAGGGAGCUUGACUGCGAGACUGACAAGUCGAGCAGGGACGAAAGUCGGGCUUAGUGAUCCGGUGGUUCCGCAUGGAAGGGCCAUCGCUCAACGGAUAAAAGCUACCCCGGGGAUAACAGGCUUAUCUCCCCCAAGAGUCCACAUCGACGGGGAGGUUUGGCACCUCGAUGUCGGCUCGUCGCAUCCUGGGGCUGUAGUCGGUCCCAAGGGUUGGGCUGUUCGCCCAUUAAAGCGGCACGCGAGCUGGGUUCAGAACGUCGUGAGACAGUUCGGUCCCUAUCCGUCGCGGGCGCAGGAAAUUUGAGAGGAGCUGUCCUUAGUACGAGAGGACCGGGAUGGACACACCGCUGGUGUACCAGUUGUUCCGCCAGGAGCAUCGCUGGGUAGCUAUGUGUGGCAGGGAUAAACGCUGAAAGCAUCUAAGCGUGAAGCCCCCCUCAAGAUGAGAUUUCCCAUUUCUUCGGAAAGUAAGAUCCCUGAAAGAUGAUCAGGUAGAUAGGUUUGGAGUGGAAGUGUAGCGAUACAUGGAGCGGACAAAUACUAAUCGAUCGAGGACUUAACCAAAA
rnacentral:rRNA from 1 species